GACGUAGGGCGCGAGCGUUGUCCGGAUUUAUUGGGCGUAAAGAGCUCGUAGGCGGCUUGUCGCGUCGUCCGUGAAAACUUGGGGCUCAACCCCAAGCUUGCGGUCGAUACGGGCAGGCUCGAGUUCGGUAGGGGAGACUGGAAUUCCUGGUGUAGCGGUGGAAUGCGCAGAUAUCAGGAGGAACACCGAUGGCGAAGGCAGUUCUCUGGGCCGUAACUGACGCUGAGGAGCGAAAGCGUGGGGAGCGAACAGG
rnacentral:rRNA from 1 species